GGGCAUUCGCAACAAAAAUAGCAUUUUAAAGCGGCAUUAUGUAGAAAAAUAAUGUUUUAAGGGUAACGUGCAACAAAAAUAACAUUUAAAGGAAAACGUGGGAAAUAAAUACUCAAUUAUGUUUAAUAAUCCAUCGGAAUUUUGAUAUAAGUGUAAUUAUGUGCAACAAGUAAAAAGUUUUGAAAAUGGACAUUAAUUUUUUUCAAUUUUGAAAUUUCUAGGAGGUAACAUGCAAUUCGCCCAGUAGUAAUAUAAUAAAAAGACACACCAAGAACAUCGCUCCUUCGAGCCUACACCCGGUGAUAAACACCGGGUGAGUCUUUUACUGUCACGUGUCCUUUUUUUUUAUUUUUCUAUAAAACCCCUAAAGAUAAACCUAAGCAGGAGAAUAUAUUAUAAAAUACAAAAAAAAAAACAACGUGACAGUAGAAGACCUAUUCAAUGUUUAUCACUGGGUAUAGAAUCGACGAAGUUCAAAAAACACUAUAUAUACACAUCCAAUCGUUGGCAUUACUUAUUCAACAAACAAUAUGGAGGCUAUUCAAAUAUUGCUUCUUAUAACAUCUUUGUUCUUGUUGUGGUCUAUCACCAAAUGGUUCACCAAACCCUCCCGAAACCGGAAAAACUUCCCUCCCUCGCCGCCAACGCUGCCGAUAAUCGGAAAACUUCACCAGCUCGGCCACUGCCCCACAGGAACCUCCGUCUUCUCGCCGGAAAAUACGGUCCCCUCAUGCUCCUCCACUUCGGCAGCGUCCCCGUCGUCGUCGCCUCGUCAGCAGAGGCGGCCCGCGAGAUCAUGAAAACACACGACCUCAACUUCGGGAGCCGGCCCGUCUACAAGGCCUACAAGAAACUCCUCUACGACUGCAAGAACGUGGCGGUGGCGCCGUACGGCGAGAGCUGGCGGAAGGCCAAGGGCAUUUUCGUCCUCCAGCUACUGAGCAACAAGAGGGUCCAAUCCUACCGUUGGAUCAGGGAAGAAGAGACGGCCCUCCUCGUUGAAAAAAUCGAAGAGUGUUGUUGUUCUUCUUCUUCCGACGGCGGCAGCGCGGCGGCGCCGGUGAAUCUUACGAGGCUGUUCUCGGAGCUGAGCGUGGCCGGGAUCUGCCGGUCUGCUUUCGGAGAGUCGGAGAAUGGGAAGAAAUUCGUGGAGUCGAUGACGGAGUUGAUGGAGCAGUUGGGAACUAUUAAUGUCGGUGAUUUUAUCCCGUGGCUGAGUUGGAUCAGCCGAGUUAACGGGUUUGAUAAGAGAGUGGAACGAGUUGCGAAAGAUAUGGAUUAUUUUCUGGAAGGUGUUAUUCAAGAACACUUGGAAAAUCCAGAAAAGGCGGGAAAUAAUAGUGAGAGCUUUGUUCAUAUUCUACUCAGGAAUUAUAGCAGUGAUGCCUCAUCAAUUGACAGGGAGCGCAUCAAAGCAUUAGUUCAGGAUGUUGUCGUAGGUGGAACCGAUACCACAUCCUCGGUUCUCGAAUGGGUGAUGACGGAGCUACUACGACACCCUAACGUGAUGGAGAAACUGCAAAACGAAGUGAGAGAAAUUGUCGGAGGCAAAAGCAUCGUAACAGAUGAUGACUUGGCAAAAAUGGAUUACAUGAAAGCCGUGAUCAAGGAAACUUUCCGUUAUCACAUACCGGUUCCGAUGCUAUUACCGAGGGUAGCGGAUAAAGACGUGAAAAUAAUGGGGUACGAUAUUUCCGCAGGAACGAUGGUGAUGGCUAACGCGUGGGCCAUAGGGCGGGACCCUGAUCUUUGGGAUGAACCGGAGAAGUUUGAUCCGGAGAGAUUCUUGAAUAACACAAAGAACGAGAAUAUUGAUUUUAGGGGCCUCGAUUUUGAGCUUAUUCCUUUUGGUGCCGGGAGAAGGAGAUGCCCCGGGAUUUCGUUUGCUGCGGCUACCAUUGAGUUUGUGUUGGCGAAUCUUAUGCUGAAGUUUAAUUGGGAAACGCAGGGGAAAGAUUUGGACAAUACUGAAAGCUCGGGGCUUACGGCGCAUAGAGCUACUCCUCUUUUCGCAGUUGCCACUCGGAGUAUAUGACGUGGCACAUUCUUAUUGGAUGAAUUUAUGUUAUUGUACUUGGUUCGGUUCUUUGUUUGGAUAAGUUGUGUCAUAUUAAUGUUUGUUUUGUGAAUUUACUGUUUGUGUUCAAUAAAUGUGAAAUAAAUUGUUGUUUGUGUACUUCAAGACUUAUUUUUCCAGUUUA